rnacentral:lncRNA from 1 species
GUGGCGGAGGGUGGGGCGGAAGAGCAGAAGGAGACUGGGAAAGGCACUGUCGGUGACAUCACCGAUAGGGCGUUUCUAUGUAGAUGAGGCAGCGCAGGGGCUGCUGCUUCGCCACGAAGGAUUUCCCGUGCCGUGGGAGCGGGUUCAGGACCGCUGGUCGGACCUGAGAGUCCCAGCUGUGUGGGAAGCUCAGCUGUGUAAUUUGUAGUAACGAAGCAGAAGUUACAACGAAAAGACAAGUUUUCCUGUGCUUGGCAGGGCCCCCCUCCCCCCCACCAAGGCCUGCAGUGGAUAGAGCCUAGCAGAUCCUGGACAAUACUAUCCUAAAAGCUACAUCUCUGACAGUGAUUUCCAGCGACUUUGUCAACACGGUCCGCCCCCAGCAAGUAUAAGAGGAAAAACAACAAAUGUCUUUACUGCCUUGUCUUUCCCCCUUGCCACUUGUCAUUAUUCAAGUUUUGUAAGUUCCUGAUUUCCAUUCAGUGCAGCUGCAAGGUUACCAGCUGUGCUUGCGUUGCAAGACCUGUCACAGUUUGAUUAACUGCCUUCUUUCUGCUUCUGUAAGCCCUCUUGCCUGCCCCGCGAGUUUCACACCAUCAAAUUCCUGCUGCACCAUUCAAACUAGCCAACCCCCUUUCAGAAGUGUGUAUAAAAGUCAAGCCCCCUGUCUUUCUUCGGGGCUCAUGCUAGGCCCGAGUGCAUUCAAUAAAAUCCUUCUGUUCC